rnacentral:rRNA from 1 species
CCCUUAGAUGUUCUGGGCCGCACGCGUGCUACACUGAGUGGAUCAGCGGGUCAGGUAGCGCGAAAGCGUUUCCUAAUCUUUAAAUCCGCUCGUGAUGGGGAUUGACGGUUGCAAUUUUCUGUCAUGAACGAGGAAUACCUUGUAAGCGCGGGUCAUCAUCCCGCGCUGAAUACGUCCCUGCCCUUUGUACACACCGCCCGUCGCUCCUACCGAUUGAGUGGUCCGGUGAGGCUUUGGGAUCUGAGCGGAAAGAGCGUUUCGCUGUUUCUGCUCGGAAAACUCAGUCGAACCUUAUCAUUUAGAGGAAGGAGAAGUCGUAACA